UGGGGAAUAUUGCACAAUGGGGGAAACCCUGAUGCAGCGACGCCGCGUGAGUGAAGAAGUACUUCGGUAUGUAAAGCUCUAUCAGCAGGGAAGAAAAUGACGGUACCUGAGUAAGAAGCCCCGGCUAACUACGUGCCAGCAGCCGCGGUAAUACGUAGGGGGCAAGCGUUAUCCGGAUUUACUGGGUGUAAAGGGAGCGCAGACGGUUGCGCAAGUCUGAAGUGAAAUCCCGAGGCUUAACCACGGGACUGCUUUGGAAACUGUGCGACUUGAGUAUCGGAGGGGCAGGCGGAAUUCCUAGUGUAGCGGUGAAAUGCGUAGAUAUUAGGAAGAACACCGGUGGCGAAGGCGGCCUGCUGGACGAAAACUGACGUUGAGGCUCGAAGGCGUGGGGAGCAAACAGGAUUAGAUACCCUGGUAGUCCACGCGGUAAACGAUGAAUACUAGGUGUUGGUGCCCAAAGGGCAUCGGUGCCGUCGCAAACGCAAUAAGUAUUCCACCUGGGGAGUACGUUCGCAAGAAUG
rnacentral:rRNA from 1 species